rnacentral:lncRNA from 1 species
AUAUAGGAAAAUACUUUGAUUUCCUGCAUCUGCUGAUAAGCAGGAACCUCAAGGGACAAGAGGCUUUGGGGUGAGCAGGGAGUCAUUAUUUCCAGAAAUAUCUGAGCUCCUCCUCUGUGCCAGACCCGUUUUAGGAGCAGGGAGUCCUGCAGUGAGCAAACAAGGCCCUCGUCUUAUGAGGCCAGGAGUGCUAAUUUCUGAGUGUGGUCGGAGGUAAUGAGGGGGAGUGUGAAGGGAGGCUGCUUCGGCUUUGGAGUCAGGGAGGAUCUCUCUGAGAUGGUGACUUAGAGCAGAGCCCUGAGGAGCAAAUAUACACAGUUAACAGCACGAUGUCUGUACAGGUUAUUAAUCUAUUGAGACGCUCCUGUGAAAGCUGGUGAGGAGUUGACGGGAGUGCCUGACCCAGCUGCCUUGUCCUGUCCUACAGGUCACCGAAAGGGUGCUGGCUGUCUGUGACUAAAAUACUGGCUCCUGCUGCUGUGCAGGUUGCUGAUUUACUGAAAUUCUUCAGUGGGAGAGACAGAACAAAGCCCCCAGGUGCUGAAUCCCGUGCCCCAGGAACCCAGCGGGAGCAGGAGGAGAAGGAGAGACUCGCCUUGGAAACUCUACAUCCCAGAAAGAUGCAGAGCCUCAGGCCGGAGCAGAUCCGAGGGCUGCUUGAGCCAGAGAGGGCCAAGACGCUGAUGCCCCGGGAGACCAGGGCCUGGGAGAAGCGUGCUGCCCUCACCAAGGACUGGGCAGCUGUGGAGGUUGGGGCCCCUGGCGGUGACGGUGACCUGAAAGGUGAGGGGCAGGCGUCCCGUGGGCGGCGGGAGGUGGGGGGAGGUUGUGGCUGAGCCUCAGGGAAGACCCA